rnacentral:rRNA from 1 species
UGGGGAAUAUUGGACAAUGGGGGCAACCCUGAUCCAGCGAUGCCGCGUGGGUGAAGAAGGCCUUCGGGUUGUAAAGCCCUUUAGGUUGGGACGAAGUGCAUAUCAGGAUAAUGGGUGUGCAUUGACGGUACCGACAGAAUAAGCACCGGCAAACUCUGUGCCAGCAGCCGCGGUAAUACAGAGGGUGCGAGCGUUAAUCGGAAUUACUGGGCGUAAAGGGCGCGUAGGCGGUGAGAUGAGUGUGAUGUGAAAGCCCCGGGCUUAACCUGGGAAGCGCAUCGCAAACGAUCUGACUGGAGUAGAUGAGAGGGUGGCGGAAUUUCCGGUGUAGCGGUGAAAUGCGUAGAGAUCGGAAGGAACGUCAAUGGCGAAGGCAGCCACCUGGCAUCAUACUGACGCUGAAGCGCGAAAGCGUGGGGAUCGAACAGG